rnacentral:rRNA from 1 species
UACAGAGGGGGCAAGCGUUGUUCGGAAUUACUGGGCGUAAAGGGCGCGUAGGCGGCCUGCUAAGUCGAACGUGAAAUCCCCGAGCUCAACUCGGGAACUGCGUCCGAUACUGACAGGCUUGAAUCCGGGAGAGGGAUGCGGAAUUCCAGGUGUAGCGGUGAAAUGCGUAGAUAUCUGGAGGAACACCGGUGGCGAAGGCGGCAUCCUGGACCGGCAUUGACGCUGAGGCGCGAAAGCAUGGGGAGCGAACGGG